rnacentral:rRNA from 1 species
AGCGAACGCUGGCGGCAGGCCUAACACAUGCAAGUCGAACGAAGCCUUCGGGCUUAGUGGCGGACGGGAGAGUAACACGUGGGAACGUACCUUUUGGUUCGGAACAACUCAGGGAAACUUGAGCUAAUAUCGGAUGAGCCCUUAGGGGGAAAGAUUUAUCGCCGAAAGAGCGGCCCGCGUUAGAUUAGCUAGUUGGUGAGGUAAAGGCUCACCAAGGCAACGAUCUAUAGCUGGUCUGAGAGGAUGAUCAGCCACACUGGGACUGAGACACGGCCCAGACUCCUACGGGAGGCAGCAGUGGGGAAUCUUGCGCAAUGGGCGAAAGCCUGACGCAGCCAUGCCGCGUGAAUGAUGAAGGUCUUAGGAUUGUAAAAUUCUUUUACCAGGGACGAUAAUGACGGUACCUGGAGAAAAAGCCCCGGCUAACUUCGUGCCAGCCGCCGCAGUAAUAC